UACAGAGGUCUCAAGCGUUGUUCGGAUUCAUUGGGCGGAAAGGGUGCGUAGGCGGCGCGGUAAGUCGGGUGUGAAAUCCCUCGGCUCAACCGGGGAACUGCGUCUGAUACUGGGCGGCUUGAAUCCGGGAGAGGGAUGCGGAAUUCCAGGUGUAGCGGUGAAAUGCGUAGAUAUCUGGAGGAACACCGGUGGCGAAGGCGGCAUCCUGGACCGGUACUGACGCUGAGGCGCGAAAGCGUGGGGAGCAAACAGG
rnacentral:rRNA from 1 species